rnacentral:rRNA from 1 species
GACGAACGCUGGCGGCGUGCUUAACACAUGCAAGUCGAACGCUGAAGCUCAGCUUGCUGGGUGGAUGAGUGGCGAACGGGUGAGUAACACGUGAGUAACCUGCCCUCUUCUUUGGGAUAACGCCCGGAAACGGGUGCUAAUACUGGAUAUUCACUGAUUCUCGCAUGGGGGUUGGUGGAAAGGUUUUUUCUGGUGGGGGAUGGGCUCGCGGCCUAUCAGCUUGUUGGUGGGGUGAUGGCCUACCAAGGCUUUGACGGGUAGCCGGCCUGAGAGGGUGACCGGUCACAUUGGGACUGGGAUACGGCCCAGACUCCUACGGGAGGCAGCAGUGGGGAAUAUUGCACAAUGGGCGAAAGCCUGAUGCAGCGACGCCGCGUGAGGGAUGGAGGCCUUCGGGUUGUAAACCUCUUUCGCUCAUGGUCAAGCCGCAGCGUUGGGUUGUGGUGAGGGUAGUGGGUAAAGAAGCGCCGGCUAACUACGUG